GUGCGGCAUGCCUAACCAUGCAAGUCGUCACCGGAGAGUGGGGCGACUCACUCUCAGUGGCAAACGGGUGAGUAACACGUGAAUAACCUGCCUUUGAGAAGGGGAUAACUGUCCGAAAGGAUAGCUAAUACCCUAUAUUGCCUUUUGUCACAAAGGCAAAAGGUGAAAGCGAGGCUGUCAAAGGCUUCGGCUCAAAGAGGGGUUCGCGUCCUAUCAGGUAGUUGGUGGGGUAAUGGCCUACCAAGCCAAUGACGGGUAGCUGGUCUUAGAGGAUAAUCAGCCACAGUGGGACUGAGACACGGCCCGCACCCCUACGGGGGGCAGCAGUGGGGAAUCGUGGGCAAUGGGCGCAAGCCUGACCCCGCAAUGCCGCGUGAGGGAAGAAUCCCUUCGGGGUGUAAACCUCUGUCAGAUGGGAAGAUGGGACUAGGGGCUAAUACCUCCUAGUCUUGACGGUACCAUCAGAGGAAGGGACGGCUAACUACGUGCCAUCAGCCGCGGUAAU
rnacentral:rRNA from 1 species